AACGAACGCUGGCGGCGCGUCUUAAGCAUGCAAGUCGGACGGCAGGUUAGGUGCUUGCACCUGACUGAGAGUGGCGAACUGGUGAGUAACACGUAGGUGACGGACCCUGCUGAUGGGGAUAGCCUUUAGAAAUAGAGGGUAAUACCGAAUACGCUUGUAGAUGAUAGAGCAUUAACAAGGAAAGGAGCUAAGGCUCUGCGGUAGGAACGGCCUGCGGCCCAUUAUGCUAGUUGGUGAGGUAAAGGCCCACCAAGGCGAUGAUGGGUAUCCGGCCUUAGAGGGUGAACGGACACAUUGGGACUGAGAUACGGCCCAGACUCCUACGGGAGGCAGCAGCUAAGAAUAUUCCGCAAUGGGCGAAAGCCUGACGGAGCGACGCCGCGUGGACGAAGAAGGCCGAAAGGUUGUAAAGUCCUUUUAAUACCGAAGAAUAAUCUUGGGAGGGAAUGCCUGGGAGGUGACGGUAGGUAUUGAAUAAGCAACGGCUAAUUACGUGCCAGCCGCCGCGGUAACAC
rnacentral:rRNA from 1 species